AACUGUCAGUUUUACCCUUGACUAAACAAAUUACAUGUUUGUCUGGCUAAUUCGUGUCAGCUUGGCUGAUCAGUCAGCUCAAUAUAUUUUCUGUUUUCUUUCAAUUUUGUGAGAUUUGUGUUUAAAAUAUUCACAAAUAAUUAAAUCAAGAAGUAAUUUGAACUACAUAACCACAUUUUUAAUUAAACAAUCAAGCAAACGCCUUAAAAAACUCACCUUAAAUCUAUAAAUCGGAUUAUUAUGAUUUUGACAAGGCGUAACAAACUACGAUUAUAAUCGGAUUAUUAACUACGAUUAUUAUUAAUUAUUACUACUAUAGUACUCGGAAUACGCAAGGCGUUUUUGAUUACAGCCACUAUCAGAGCUGUGAUGCAAUCUAUUGGCGGCUAUUUACAUGAAUUUAUUUAUUACCACACAUGGAUUUAUCACAUAUUUUUUUUAUUCGAUUCUCUUUUUUAUGUUCCGUUCACAGGCAAAUCCGCCCUUACUAUACAAUUAAUUCAAAAUCAUUUCGUUGACGAAUAUGAUCCAACGAUUGAGGACUCGUAUCGUAAACAAGUUGUUAUUGAUGGCGAGACAUGCCUG